AGCUCCAAUAGCGUAUAUUAAAGUUGUUGCGGUUAAAAGCUCGUAGUUGGAUUUCUGUCGAGAAAGUGCGGUCUGCACUAUGUGCACGUAUCUGCAACUGUCUUGGCAUCCGGAAGUUUAAGGCGCGUUGCUUCAUUGCAAUGUCCGUAGGCUUCUCUUUUACUUUGAGGAAAUUAGAGUGUUCACGGCAGGCAAUCGCCCUGAAUACAUUAGCAUGGAAUAAUAAUAUAGGGCCGCAGCUCUAUUUUGUUGGUUUCUAGAGCUACGGUAAUGAUUAAUAGGGAUAAUUGGGGGCAUUCGUAUUAUCACGUCAGAGGUGGAAUUCUUGGAUUGUGUUACGACGAACUACUGCGAAAGCAUUUGCCAAGGAUGUUUUCA
rnacentral:rRNA from 1 species